rnacentral:tRNA from 7 species
GGCGGUGUAGCUCAGCUGGCUAGAGCGUACGGUUCAUACCCGUAAGGUCGGGGGUUCGAUCCCCUUCGCCGCUACCA